AUUGAACGCUGGCGGCAGGCCUAACACAUGCAAGUCGAGCGGAUGAAGAGAGCUUGCUCUCUGAUUCAGCGGCGGACGGGUGAGUAAUGCCUAGGAAUCUGCCUGGUAGUGGGGGACAACGUUUCGAAAGGAACGCUAAUACCGCAUACGUCCUACGGGAGAAAGCAGGGGACCUUCGGGCCUUGCGCUAUCAGAUGAGCCUAGGUCGGAUUAGCUAGUAGGUGGGGUAAAGGCUCACCUAGGCGACGAUCUGUAACUGGUCUGAGAGGAUGAUCAGUCACACUGGAGCUAAGACACGGUCCAGACUCCUACGGGAGACAGCAGUGGGGAAUAUUGGACAAUGGGCGAAAGCCUGAUCCAGCCAUGCCGCGUGUGUGAAGAAGGUCUUCGGAUUGUAAAGCACUUUAAGUUGGGAGGAAGGGCGCUCGGUGAAUACCCAAGCGUCUUGACGUUACCGACAGAAUAAGCACCGGCUAACUUCGUGCCAGCCGCCGCCGUAACAC
rnacentral:rRNA from 1 species